rnacentral:tRNA from 1 species
CAUUAAGAAGCUAUGGACAAGCACUAGCCUUUUAAGCUAGAGAAAGAGGAAUCUCUCCUCCUUAAUGA